GACGAACGCUGGCGGCGUGCUUAACACAUGCAAGUCGAACGGAAAGGCCCUGCUUUUGUGGGGUGCUCGAGUGGCGAACGGGUGAGUAACACGUGAGUAACCUGCCCUUGACUUUGGGAUAACUUCAGGAAACUGGGGCUAAUACCGGAUAGGAGCUCCUGCUGCACGGUGGGGGUUGGAAAGUUUCGGCGGUUGGGGAUGGACUCGCGGCUUAUCAGCUUGUUGGUGGGGUAGUGGCUUACCAAGGCUUUGACGGGUAGCCGGCCUGAGAGGGUGACCGGCCACAUUGGGACUGAGAGACGGCCCAGACUCCUACGGGAGGCAGCAGUGGGGAAUAUUGCACAAUGGGCGGAAGCCUGAUGCAGCAACGCCGCGUGCGGGAUGACGGCCUUCGGGUGGUAAACCGCUUUCGCCUGUGACGAAGCGUGAGUGACGGUAAUGGGUAAAGAAGCACCGGCUAACUACGCG
rnacentral:rRNA from 1 species